rnacentral:rRNA from 1 species
GAUGAACGCUAGCUACAGGCUUAACACAUGCAAGUCGAGGGGAAACGAUAUUGGAAGCUUGCUUCCGAUAGGCGUCGACCGGCGCACGGGUGAGUAACGCGUAUCCAACCUGCCCAUCACUUGGGGAUAACCUUGCGAAAGUAAGACUAAUACCCAAUGACGUCUCUAGAAGACAUCGGAAAGAGAUUAAAGAUUUAUCGGUGAUGGAUGGGGAUGCUUCUGAUUAGCUUGUUGGCGGGGUAACGGCCCACCAAGGCGACGAUCAGUAGGGGUUCUGAGAGGAAGGUCCCCCACAUUGGAACUGAGACACGGUCCAAACUCCUACGGGAGGCAGCAGUGAGGAAUAUUGGUCAAUGGACGAGAGUCUGAACCAGCCAAGUAGCGUGCAGGAUGACGGCCCUAUGGGUUGUAAACUGCUUUUAUAAGGGAAUAAAGUGAGAGUCGUGACUCUUGUUGCAUGUACCUUAUGAAUAAGGACCGGCUAAUUCCGUGCCAGCCGCCGCAGUAA